CUGAUCAUAUACAUGAUGCGUGUAUGUGUGUUUGAAAACAUGAGGAACUGAAAAGCUUCAUAUUAAUUUAUUUAUUAAGUUUGAAGAUGACACUUUUGAUUGGAAACACCGAUGGGAAUCAAAAACAAAAACAAAGAGAAAAAGAAGGAAAAAGAUCAGAAAAACUUAUUGGAAAUUAAUACUUCCUAGCUAGGUUCUGAAGGAGGAGGAGUAAUUCUAAUAACAAGCCCAGGGAAAACAUCAUCCGGGUCGUGAAUAUGAGGGUUCUGCUCAACUAUAAAGGGGUCGCCGCACUUAUCACUGAUCGUGUGGAGUGUUUCACCUUCUCCGACCACGUAAAUUUCGUCACACGGCUUUUCCGAGAGCUGGGUGCUCUUCAUGUCCUGAUCGUAUAUAAGGGUACUGGUUUCCCUAAAAUAGCAUAGCAAUAUAAGGGCGACCAGAAAAAAGGCACAGUACCAGGAGGCUGCUUCUUCAAUAGAUUCUGAUAUGAUUAUAGGCCUCUUGGAUUGGUUGGAAGCCAUGAUCAGGCCAGGAGAUAGCUAGACUGAGUACUGAAAAUAAAUACGAAAUAGAAAGUUGGGGGAGAAGAUGGUGGGCAGUUUUGGAGUUUACAUAAUUAAGGUUUAUUUGAUCGAUACAGUUUGAUUUGUAAAAUAAAUUUUAAAAUUUAAAUUUUAUAAAUUAAAUCUUAUUUUUUAAUUUUCAAAUUGUACCCGAUGAAUAUUAUAUGAUAUAGAAAUGAGAUUUUAGAAUAACAGUAAUCUAUAAAACUGGAUUGGGUAGGAUAGUUGUGUUUUGUGGAGUUGGAGCUAUAAAGAAAAGGGCCACGAGGUUUUACCUGAAUCAGCUUCUUCUUCUUUUUAUUUAUUCGGGCAAACUCCAACCCGAAAAAGGGAAAGGAAUUCAAUCACGAGAGGGCCAAACGAGUUAUUCUACGCAUCCACAACUGUAGAGGUGCACACUUUACACACCAUACGUGGCGUCUUCUCUUUUUUUUUUUUUUUUUUUUUCUCUCUUUUAUGCUAAAAUUAGCAUUUGAAUUUUAAACCAUCGAUGUAUUGAACCCAUCGUACUCCCGCGUCCCCCUCCCUCCCUUUCGUCGCAUAGCACACUCAAGCGUCACCGUCCCUGUCGUUGCCCAACAACGGCGACUCAUCGGCCUGCCUCUGACUAUCGCCGCUUAGCCUUUUUUCCCCACAGUCCAUUUCAAACAAGGGGGAGUUCACGGGGACCACUCGUCACCUAGCACCCGCGUCGUCGUCCCUCUCGUUGCCCAGCACCCGCAAGCCUUCCACUGCACAGUUCAAAUCCUUCCCCCUAUUUUGGAAGAGUUAAAGCAAAAUGAAAGUCUCCUCUCAUUAUUUUCUGGGUUUUCUUUGGAGUGAGAAAUUGCUCCGAAUUUGGUCUUCGUAGCUCCAGAGUUUUUCUACAAAGGUACUCGAAGACACAGAGUAACAGACAGAAAGAAAAAGAGACACUCGCAGCUUGAUAAGGCCAAAGGGGCCUAGCACCGGAGAGAGCAAGCCUCCGUACUUUUCACAGACUGGAAUAUAACUAUUUGGUUUCAACCCAGGAUCGGAUUUUGGCAAGAUUGAAAGCAAAGACAAGUGGACAGUUUCUAAGGGUGUUGCAGUGAAGCUGAUUGUAUAUCUUGUAUUACUAUAGUUUGUCAAUAUUACUUUCACUAGGCCAUCGUAGGACGUUCUUUAAAUUGGAGUGAAGAUUUUUUUGUAAAUGAAAUUGAUGGCUAAUGAGAUAGUCAUUAUCAUGUGAACAGUGUACUAAUUAUAAGUGAAAUCUAAGAGUUUUUAGGAAAAGUUACUAUGCUAGCAA